CUGGCGGCAUGCCUAAGACAUGCAAGUCGAACGAAGUGGUCCAAUGAAGAUGGAGUGCUUGCACGAAAUCAGAUUUGGGUUGCCACUUAGUGGCGAAAGGGUGAGUAACACGUAGGUUAUCUACCUUUAAGACUGGAAUAACAAUUAGAAAUGAUUGCUAAUACCGGAUGAUAUAUAGAGUGAUACGUUACUUUAUAUUAAAAGGAGCCUUUAAAAGCUUCACUUAAAGAUGAGCCUGCGACGUAUUAGCUAGUUGGUGGGGUAAAGGCCUACCAAGGCGACGAUGCGUAGCCGACCUGAGAGGGUGAUCGGCCACACUGGGACUGAGACACGGCCCAGACUCCUACGGGAGACAGCAGUUAGGAAUAUUCGUCAAUGGAGGGAACUCUGAACGAGCAAUGCCGCGUGAAGGAUGACGGUCCUUUGGAUUGUAAACUUCUGUUGUUAGGAACGAAAAACUUAAGUAGGAAAUGACUUAAGCUUGACGGUACCUUUCAAGAAAGCUCCGGCUAACUACGUG
rnacentral:rRNA from 1 species